UAGAAUAUAGAAACAGCGCAAGAAGAGCAUCGCCUUCGCUUUCAAUAAUAAUGCCGUUGGCUUUGUCUCUGCUUUUCUUUUUUACUCUUUUUAGGCAAAAACAUACAAACCAGUGUGCAGUGCGACACUCAAAAAAUUUCAUUCUUCAAACUCUACUUCUGCAUCUAUAUUUUCUUUUGCUUCUUCUAAUCCAAAGGUUACUAUUCAUCACUUCCGUUUUCAAUUCCACUGAUUCACUUGCUGUCUUUUUCUCUUAAGUCUCAAGCUUUCAAAAUCUCUGCUUUCUCAGCGUUCAUACUCCAAAGUCUCGUCUUUAGUGGGUUUCUAUUUGUUUUCUGAGAAAAUAUUCAAUGAAGCAAGAGAAAAGGAUAUAAAGUUUGGAAUAUUUUUCCAGUUGUGUUAACAAUGGGCUGCCUAAAGUGGGGAACGUUUUCUGGGUUGGUGGUGGCGGCUUUUACGGUGUCGUUCUGUGUUGCUCUAACUGACCCUCGUGAUGUUGUGGCGAUGAAUAGCUUGUGCUUCUCUCUGAACUUCCCGCCCUUGCUUGGAUGGGUUCCUGUUGGAGGAGAUCCUUGUGGAGAGGAAUGGCAAGGUGUCAGCUGCGUCUUCUAUAACAUAACUUCACUGAAACUAAAUGGGAUGAAUUUAGGAGGAUCCUUGGACAAUAACUUGGUGCUAUUCGAAUCUAUCAUAGAAAUAGAUCUGAGCAACAAUCAUAUUGGAGGGAGUAUUCCAUCCGACUUACCCCUUACCUUGAGGAGCUUUUCUCUUGCUGGUAAUCAGUUCAAUGGAAGUGUCCCAGAUUCAUUGUCUUCAUUAACUCAAUUGUCAUACUUGUCAUUAAACAAUAAUCAUCUUACUGGAGGAAUACCAGAUGCCUUUCAGCAUAUGACAAGCUUGACAAAUUUGGAUCUCUCUGGUAACAAUUUGAGUGGUCAGUUGCCUCCAUCAUUAGGAAAUUUGUCAUCUCUUAGUUCACUGCAUUUGCAGAAUAAUAAACUCAUUGGGGUCCUUGAUGUUCUACAGGAUCUUCCUCUACAGGAUUUGAAUGUAGAUAACAAUCUGUUUUCGGGACCUGUACCUGCAAAGCUGCUGAAUAUUCCAAAUUUUAGAAGAGAUGGAAACCCAUUCAACACAACCAUUAUUCCUUCUCCGCCACUUGCAGUUCCUCCAUCUCCAGCCAUGUCACCAUCUCCUGCAGAAACACCUGAGAAGAAGGAACAUGGGCCACCUACUCCACAAACACCAAGGUCAUUCUUUACAAUUAAGAGGGUCAUUGGAAUUGCUGUUUCAGUGGUGGUGGUAAUUAUCAUAUUAGGAGCAUGUCUUUUAAUGUCAAAACGCUGGAAAAUAAAGCAAGUGAAGGAAGAUGCCAAAAGGCAUGAUCUAGGUGCUUAUAAGGGCCACAAGGAGAAGCCUAUUUGCAAACUUCCUUUUCAACCAUAUAAUCAAGAGGAGAAAGAUAACCGAAAAUUGGAGAUAAGCACAAAGCUACAGGAUGAGCAGGGAAAAAGUCGGACCCAGAUGUCUGCACUGUCAAGGAACAAUAUGGAUCAUGAGAUAGAUAUGAAUUUUUUGCCACUGCAGCCACCGGCUGCCCCUCCUCCUUGCCUUCCUGUUGACAAGGUCAUUGUCAAUCCAAUUUUGCCUGCAGAAGCAUAUGCAAGGAGUAGUUCAACUAAGAGUCUGAAGUCCUCAAGUUCUGUAAGAGUUUUCACCAUUGCAACACUUCAGCAAUAUACAAAUAGUUUUUCAGAAGAAAAUUUUGUUGGAGAGGGCACACUAGGCAGUGUUUACAAGGCUGAGCUUCCUGAUGGGAAGCUACUGGCAGUCAAGAAACUAAACAGUAUGGCUAUCAGGCAACAGACAGACAAGGAAUUCCUUGACCUGGUUUCUGCUAUUUCUAAAAUUCGACAUGCAAACAUUGUGGAAUUUGUGGGUUACUGUCAUGAGCACGGCCAACGAUUACUUGUUCAUGAGUACUAUGAAACAGGGACGCUUCAUGAUGCACUGCAUGUGGAUGAUGAGAUCCAUAAGAAACUUUCAUGGAAUGCACGCAUCCAGCUGGCGCUAGGAGCAGCUAGAGCCCUACAGUAUCUGCAUGAAGUCUGUCAGCCAUCCAUUGUGCACAGGAAUUUCAGAUCUUGUAAUAUUCUCCUUGAUGAAAAGCUUGCAGCAUGUGUAUCAGACUGUGGUUUGGCCCCUCUACAAUCAUCUGGCUCUGCAAGUGAGUUAUCAGGACGCCUCCUUAGCACAUAUGGCUAUGGCGCUCCAGAGCUUGAGUUGGGAAGUUAUACUUGCAAGAGUGAUGUAUAUAGCUUUGGAGUUGUAAUGCUAGAACUCCUUACAGGAAGGAAGUCCUAUGACAGUCGAAUCUAGGUCACGUAGUCGAGGUGAGCAAUCUCUGGUUAGAUGGGCAAUUCCUCGGCUUCAUGAUAUAGAUUCACUCUCUGGGAUGGUUGACCCUUCUUUAAAUGGAGCAUAUCCUGUCAAGUCUUUAUCACGUUUUGCUGAUAUAAUAUCCAGAUGUGUUCAGUGGGAGCCAGAAUUCAGGCCACCAGUGUCUGAAGUUGUCCAGGACCUUUUACGCAUGAUAUGAUGAAGAGGAGAAUGUCAAGCAGUCAAUCAACUGAAACAUAGAUUUUGUUCAGAUAGGAAGAACUCAAUGAAGAACAGUAAUUGCAACGUAAAAUAGAUAAAAUUAUCCGUCUUUCACAUUCUGAGGCUUGCUAGGAUGGAAAUUUCUAGAGGUAACCUAGCUGUAAAUUAUUCUAUUGUUUGUAUCUGAUAUUCAGUGUUUAUAUAUAUAUAUAUAUAUAUGUGUAUACUUGGAGAUAUAUUCAUUUAUUUGUUAUCAUCAUUUUGUGUGAAUAUUACAGUUU